rnacentral:rRNA from 1 species
GUGGGGAAUAUUGGACAAUGGGCGAAAGCCUGAUCCAGCCAUGCCGCGUGUGUGAAGAAGGUCUUCGGAUUGUAAAGCACUUUAAGUUGGGAGGAAGGGCAGUAAGUUAAUACCUUGCUGUUUUGACGUUACCGACAGAAUAAGCACCGGCUAACUUCGUGCCAGCAGCCGCGGUAAUACGAAGGGUGCAAGCGUUAAUCGGAAUUACUGGGCGUAAAGCGCGCGUAGGUGGUUUUGUAAGUUGGAGGUGAAAUCCCCGGGCUCAACCUGGGAACUGCCUCCAAAACUGCAUGACUAUAGUGCGGUAGAGGGUAGUGGAAUUUCCUGUGUAGCGGUGAAAUGCGUAGAUAUAGGAAGGAACACCAGUGGCGAAGGCGACUACCUGGACUGAUACUGACACUGAGGUGCGAAAGCGUGGGGAGCAAACAGGAUUAGAAACCCGUGUAGUCC